rnacentral:rRNA from 1 species
AACUUUCAACAACGGAUCUCUUGGCUCUCGCAUCGAUGAAGAACGCAGCGAAAUGCGAUAAGUAAUGUGAAUUGCAGAAUUCAGUGAAUCAUCGAAUCUUUGAACGCACCUUGCGCCCUUUGGUAUUCCGAAGGGCACACCUGUUUGAGUGUCGUGA